GACGAACGCUGGCGGCGUGCUUAACACAUGCAAGUCGAACGGAAAGGCCCUGCUUUUGUGGGGUGCUCGAGUGGCGAACGGGUGAGUAACACGUGAGUAACCUGCCCUUGACUUUGGGAUAACUUCAGGAAACUGGGGCUAAUACCGGAUAGGAGCUCCUGCUGCAUGGUGGGGGUUGGAAAGUUUCGGCGGUUGGGGAUGGACUCGCGGCUUAUCAGCUUGUUGGUGGGGUAGUGGCUUACCAAGGCUUUGACGGGUAGCCGGCCUGGGAGGGUGACCGGCCACAUUGGGACUGAGAUACGGCCCAGACUCCUACGGGAGGCAGCAGUGGGGAAUAUUGCACAAUAGGCGGAAGCCUGAUACAGCAACGCCGCGUGCGGGAUGACGGCCUUCGAGUUAUAAACCGCUUUCGCCUGUGACGAAGCGUGAUUGACGGUAAUGGGUAAAGAAGCACCGGCUAACUACGUG
rnacentral:rRNA from 1 species